rnacentral:lncRNA from 1 species
GCCACAGGCGGGGCCGCGCAGGCGUGUCACAGCGGGACUGAUUUGGGAAUCUCAUCACUGCUCUCUUCAUUCAGGCCCAGAGCUGCUUCUUCUGCUGCACUUACCCUGAAGAUCAACCCUGAGCAUGCUGAGAUUCGGGCAGCACCUCAUCAAGCCCUCGGUGGUGUUCCUGAGGACGGAGCUGUGCUUUGCCCUGGUGAACCGCAGGCCGGUGGUGCC